GUGACAUACCUAUAACUGUUGCUUCGGCGGGUAGGGUCUCCGCGACCCUCCCGGCCUCCCGCCUCCGGGCGGGUCGGCGCCCGCCGGAGGAUAACCAAACUCUGAUUUAACGACGUUUCUUCUGAGUGGUACAAGCAAAUAAUCAAAACUUUUAACAACGGAUCUCUUGGUUCUGGCAUCGAUGAAGAACGCAGCGAAAUGCGAUAAGUAAUGUGAAUUGCAGAAUUCAGUGAAUCAUCGAAUCUUUGAACGCACAUUGCGCCCGCCAGCAUUCUGGCGGGCAUGCCUGUUCGAGCGUCAUUUCAACCCUCAAGCUCUGCUUGGUGUUGGGGCCCUACAGCCGAUGUAGGCCCUCAAAGGUAGUGGCGGACCCUCCCGGAGCCUCCUUUGCGUAGUAACUUUACGUCUCGCACUGGGAUCCGGAGGGACUCUUGCCGUAAAACCCCCCAAUUUUCCAAAGGUUGACCUCGGAUCAGGUAGGAAUACCCGCUGAACUUAAGCAUAUCAA
rnacentral:rRNA from 1 species